GGACGAACGCUGGCGGCGUGCCUAAUGCAUGCAAGUCGAGCGGGCUACGAUCUUCGGAUUGUAGCUUAGCGGCGAACGGGUGAGUAACACGUAGGUAAUCUACCCUUCAGAGGAGGACAACCUCAGGAAACUGAGGCUAAACCUUCAUACGUUCACUGGUAGGGAUACUGGUGAAGAAAGAGUUACCUUAAAGGUAGCUGCUGAAGGAUGAGCCUGCGGCCCAUCAGGUAGUUGGUGAGGUAACGGCUCACCAAGCCGAAGACGGGUAGCCGGCCUGAGAGGGCGACCGGCCACACUGGAACUGAGACACGGUCCAGACUCCUACGGGAGGCAGCAGUUGGGAAUCUUAGGCAAUGGGCGAAAGCCUGACCUAGCGACGCCGCGUGAGGGAAGAAGGCCUUCGGGUCGUAAACCUCUGUCAUGGGGGACGAAGGAAGUGACGGUACCCCAAGAGGAAGCCCCUGCUAACUACGUGCCAGCAGCCGCGGUAAUACGUAGGGGGCGAGCGUUAUCCGGAAUUAUUGGGCGUAAAGGGCGAGUAGGCGGUCUGUUAAGUCAGGUGUGAAAUUUCAGGGCUCAACCCUAAAACUGCGCUUGAAACUGGCAGGCUAGAGGACAGGAGAGGGAAGUGGGAUUCCCGGUGUAGCGGUGGAAUGCGUAGAUAUCGGGAGGAACACCAGUGGCGAAGGCGGCUUCCUGGACUGUACCUGACGCUGAGGAGCGAAAGCUGGGGGAGCAAACAGGAUUAGAUACCCUGGUAGUCCCAGCUGUAAACGAUGAGUGCUAGGUGUGGAGGGCUACAAUCCUCCGUGCCGCAGUUAACGCAAUAAGCACUCCGCCUGGGGAGUACGGCCGCAAGGCUAAAACUCAAAGGAAUUGACGGGGGCCCGCACAAGCAGUGGAGCGUGUGGUUUAAUUCGAGGCAACGCGCAGAACCUUACCAGGGUUUGACAUCAUACUGACGUCUGUAGAAACACAGAUUUCCGUUUAGGCGGACGGUAUGACAGGUGUUGCAUGGUUGUCGUCAGCUCGUGUCGUGAGAUGUUGGGUUAAGUCCCGCAACGAGCGCAACCCCUAUCCAAUGUUGCCAACAGGUAAAGCUGGGGACUCAUUGGAGACUGCCGGAGACGAUCUGGAGGAAGGUGGGGAUGAGGUCAAAUCAUCAUGGCCCUUAAGCCCUGGGCUACACACGCGCUACAAUGGCCGGUACAACGGGCAGCGAAGGAGCGAUCUGGAGCGAAUCCCAAAAAGCCGGCCCCAGUUGGAAUCGCAGGCUGCAACCCGCCUGCGUGAACAUGGAAUUGCUAGUAAUCGCGAAUCAGCUACGUCGCGGUGAAUACGUUCCCGGGCCU
rnacentral:rRNA from 1 species